AAGCAGUUGGUAUCAACGCGUGUUUUAGAGUACUGUCAAUGAAAUAGAGGCGAGUUAUUACAUUCCUUUAGUCAUAUUAUUAGAAAUAUUGUUACUAUGUAAAUUUCCGCUAAUAUGUUUUUAAAGCGGUGAAAAAUAUACAUUAUGUAAGUUUUUUGUUUA